UACAGAGGGUGCAAGCGUUGUUCGGAAUUAUUGGGCGUAAAGCGCGUGUAGGCGGCUUGUUAUGUCGGGUGUGAAAGCCCUCAGCUCAACUGAGGAAGUGCGCCCGAAACUGGCGAUCUUGAGUACGGGAGAGGUGAGUGGAAUUCCUGGUGUAGAGGUGAAAUUCGUAGAUAUCAGGAGGAACACCGGUGGCGAAAGCGGCUCACUGGCCCGAUACUGACGCUCAUGUUCGAAAGCGUGGGGAGCAAACAGG
rnacentral:rRNA from 1 species